AUAAAUUGCUUUUACUCGUAAUCAAUUACAAUAUUUUUAUUCUGGUCAACUCAUUACAAUUCAUUCUUGUUCCGACCAAACUCUUGUGUUGUGCUUGUGUCACGAAAUUAAUCACUGAAAUUCCAAUCAAGUAGGAUAUGUCAUAUAUUAUCCUCUGUGUUAGUGAAAGCGAAUGCGUGAGCCGUGAGGAUGAGAUAUCCAUACAUAAUGAAUGACGGAGUUUAGAGUAGCAUGCCGAUUUCUUACCGGGAAUUGUAAUCGCAGCGACUGUUUGGCGAAACAUUUCAUUUCAUAUAGGGAUACAACUCAAUGACACAUCUAAAAAGUUUGAGAAGAAGUUUGCUUCUGGAGCUUCAGUUGUUCAGGUUUGUAGAAGAUACUACUGCGUGGCUUGCUAGGCUUGUUAUUUGUGAGACAAAGGCCAUCCCCCCGUACUUCACAAAACAAAAUGGUUGGCAUUCUUGAAUACUGCAUGGCCUGCUAAGCUUCAAGCGCACAGUACGUACAUGUUCUUCUAUAUAUCCAUUUCCAUCUGCACUUGGCAAAGCCAAAAAAGCUAUAAAGACACUGAAAGAGCUACCAAUAAAUUUAAAUAUACAUACUUUAGCAACAAAGGAAGAGUUCUAAGUAUAUAUUAUUAUAAAAACAAACGAGCAUAUAUUAUCUGAAAAUGAUUAGUUGAAAUGUUUUAUAUAUAGAUGAACAUUUUUGCCAUGACGUGUGAAAAAAUUAGAGGAUUAUGUUAACACAAUGAUUAUUUGAUUGUUACAAAUGUUUUGAUAUUGAAAAAUGGGAUAUAGCGUUUAUGUUGAUUAGAGAAACAUAGAAAGAAACUGUUUCUAGGACACAUAUUUGAAAACUAUCAUGUGAAGAAGAUCAAAAUAAUUAAUUUCUAUAACCAAUACAGCAAAAUAUCAUACAUAUUUCUAAAAUCUACUAAAUAAUGUUAGAGAAAAUACUUUUUAAAUAUCUUGAUUGGGUGAUAUAUAUACUCCUUCUAUUUUAAUAUAGUAUUGAUGGUAUACGUCCUAUUUUAAUACAAAAUGUUUUAGAGAUUUUUUCUUUCACUUUACCUAUUUGCUAUAUUUGUAUUCUAUACUAGUUUUAUAUUUUGGUUGUUUAAUCAAUAACUUAUUCGUUUUUUAAUUUACGUCUAGUUCUUUUGCCCAAAAAAAACUUUUCUAAUAAAUUUAAACGAAGGAAUUAUAAGAUAAAUAAGAAGAGGUGAUGUGUUCUUCUAAUUGGAUAGGAACAGGAUAAAUGAAAUGCUGACCAGAAGAAGAAGUGGUGUGUUCUUUAAACCGAUAAGAAUAGGAUAGGAAGAUGUGUUGUGUUCUUUUAAUUGGAUGAGACAUGCAGACCACUAAAGCAACUAAUUGUAUACGAUAAUACGAACUUUAUGAACUACGUCAAAUAAUCGACAAAAUUAUUAAUCAUAAAUAUGUUAAAAAGGAUUA